UAAAUCGCCUUUUUAAAGGCGAUUUAUUUUUACUUAAAAGUAAUGU
rfam:Bacillus cereus ATCC 14579, complete genome.